rnacentral:lncRNA from 10 species
CGGGAGGAUGCUGAGGACCUGGUGGGGAGCAUCGUCAGUAUGUGGGCUGCAUGCCAAGCAGGACGCAUGUUCAAGAAAGGCCAAGGCAGCCAUGGAAGGCCAGCAAGGUGUAAACAGCAAUAAAUAAGAAUGUUCCAUCAGUGGAGGACUGGAUAAAGAACACGUGGUAUAUAAACAAAAUGGAACAGCAUUCAUCCAGAAAAAAGAAUGAAAUCAUGUCUUUUGCAGCAACAUGGAUGGAGGUGGAAGCGAUUAUCCUAAGUGAAAUAACUCAGAAACAGAAAACCAAAUACCACAUGUUCUCACUUAUAAGUAGGAGCUAAACAAAGGGUACACAUGGACAUAUAGAGUGGAAUGAGACAUUGGAGACUACAACAGGUAGGAAGGUGAGAAGGGCGUUAGGGUUGAAAAACUACCUAUUGGAUACAGCAUUCACUGUUUGGGUGAUAGGGACACAAAAUGCCCAGACCUCACCACUAUGUAACAUGUGUGUUUGAAACUUGCACCUAUACCCCUAAAUAUAUACAAAUUACAAACAAGAUGACAAAAAAUAAAUAAGUAAAUCAAUAGUGAGAGGGACAGGAGCAACCUAGAGAAAUAGGACAGGCUGUCAGCUGGUGGAUUUUAGGUGCCAUCACAUUGUGGUCCUUGAGAGCAAUCACCUAACACAGUCACCCGAUCAUUUUUCUUUACUUGCAAUCCUCUUCCAUAAGAGUGGACAUAAAUAGCACAUAAACAGAGUAUCUGAGGAAUGGAGAGGCAGAUGAGAAAAGAAAACUUAUGGUGAGGUCCUUCCCAAUGGCACAGAGACAUGCUUUACUCAUCUCUACUAAAAAUGCAAAAAUUAGCUGGGCAUGGUGGUGUGCACCUGUAAUUCCAGCUACUCGGGAGGCUGAGACACAAGAAUCGUUUGAACCCGGGAUGCAGAGGUUGCAGUGAACUGAGAUCAUGCAACUGCACUCCAGCCUGGGUGACAG